ensembl:lncRNA
GAAGACAAAUUGUGUGCUGAUGGAGUCAUUUGAAACUGAAGAACCCGAUUACCUGGUGGAGUGCUCUGGGAUCUGAGAGGUUCCUCAGGGGCGUCAGGAGAACCAGCUGAUUUCAACUCCGGACUCACCCUGGCCCGUGUAAGGUGUUUACUGAAGGUGAAUGAAGAACUCUACAACAGAAGAACCCUUCACUAUACAAAGAACCCACUGAAGAACCUCAGCGUGCUGCAGGUGAAGAGGAUGAUGUUUUCUGUGGAGUAAAUGACACAUUGUUCAAAAUUCAAAGGAAAGUUGUUUAAUUCUUUAUUUUAUUUAUCUUUGUGAGUUUUUAAACUUUUUUCCGUCCAGUUUAAGGACACUGAGUAAAUGAUUUCAUUUCGUCAGACUUUUUUUUUUUUUUCAUGUCCAAUCAUUUUUUCCGUUUCUGUGUCUGAAACUCGGAUGUGACGUGACGGAGUCCUGUACGUUCUCCAAGUUUACAGAUAAAAUAAGAUGAACGAGUCGUCCUGAUCACGCUGUCGUUCCUGCACUACUGCACAUUCUGACCGGGUCUGAAGCCUGAACUCUACUGAACUCUGUUUAAUGAUGCUCGCUCUCUUCCAUAUCUACAUUGUAAUGAAUAUCUGUAAUGGAACAGGGACCGAGUUCCACUGCUAUUCCUCAGAAGUGCUGAUUAAAGUCUAAUGGAACGAUUUUGAUAUGUUUAAAUGAGAAUGUUGUGCAGGAAACGCUCUAAGAACAUAACGCAAACGUAGCGUAAUCCAUAAA